rnacentral:rRNA from 1 species
CAGCAGUAGCCGCGGGAAAACAGAGGGUGCGAGCGUUAAUCGGAUUUACUGGGCGUAAAGCGUGCGUAGGCGGCUUUUUAAGUCGGAUGUGAAAUCCCUGAGCUUAACUUAGGAAUUGCAUUCGAUACUGGGAAGCUAGAGUAUGGGAGAGGAUGGUAGAAUUCCAGGUGUAGCGGUGAAAUGCGUAGAGAUCUGGAGGAAUACCGAUGGCGAAGGCAGCCAUCUGGCCUAAUACUGACGCUGAGGUACGAAAGCAUGGGGAGCAAACAGGAUUAGAUACCCCUGUAGUCCCUGUCUCUUAUAA